GAUGAACGCUAGCGGCAGGCUUAACACAUGCAAGUCGAGGGGUAUUGGUUUUCGGACCAAGAGACCGGCGCACGGGUGCGUAACGCGUAUGCAAUCUACCUUUUGCAGAGGGAUAGCCCCAGAGAAAUUUGGAUUAAUACCUCAUAGUAUAGUACUUUGGCAUCAAGGAACUAUUAAAGUCACAACGGCAAAGAAUGAGCAUGCGUCCCACUUAGCUAGUUGGUAAGGUAACGGCUUACCAAGGCUACGAUGGGUAGGGGUCCGU
rnacentral:rRNA from 1 species